rnacentral:lncRNA from 1 species
CAGGAGGGCACCUCGCUUUCCCCUCUGGAAGCAGCAGAGCGGUUGGGAGCCCUGUUGCUGCCUGUGGCUGCGUGGUGACCAUUCUUGAAACGUCUCCAAAUUUUUGUCUGUUGUGCUAAUGUCCCAGUCCUUUUUCAUACAGAGGGUUUUGACCUUGGAGAAAUCCAGAAGAAAUCAAUGGAAAAUGGAAGCUGUCAGUCUCCGUACCUCCAGCAGGAGCUUCUCUGUACAUCCCAUAUGCAUAUUUCUUGGAUGGGAAGGGUGUCGAUUUCUCUUGUAGUCAAACCAGUGACUGAUUCAUCACUAAACUAUCUCUUCCUGUAAUUCCCUGCUACUUCAUUCAGCUGAUUGUAUCUUAGGGAGCAGAGAUAAGUGCCGGAGCAAUACAAAGAGAGCUGGCUGAUAAAUUAAGCUUCAGAUGUCCUUAGAGAAAGUCCAGUCUAACUAGAGAGAAGAGCCUCUAGAACAUCAUUAGACUUAUUCUCUCUUCUCAGCAGAGCUAUUACAAGCCUGCUUUUUGUCAGCACUUCUCUUAAGACUUACAGCACAAUUUGUGCACCAACUCAUCUCUACAGUCAUCUUGUCAUAGGGGAAGAGCCAGAGGAUUUUCUUUUAUGUUGCUUCAUAUGCAGUCAUGUUACAGGUGAAUGGGAAAAACGCAGGAGCAGAUGAAGCUGAUGGAAACUGGAACCUCACCCUGUUGCUGGAACUGUUAUUAACUCGGCUGUAAGAUGGAAUUAAAUAAAAAUAAUAAGCAGACUCGUAAUAACAUUUUAUUAAAGAUACUGUAUCGAGGCAUAGAUUAAGCUUUAAAGAUGACGAAAAUUAACCUGGCAUGUCUUCAUUGAUACUCUACAUAGACUACAAAUAAUUGCUAAGUUACAGAACAGUCAGAGCCUGUUCUAGAUGUCCUCUGCUUAAAAAAUAAGGGAAGUUAAAUGGUUCAAGGCCUAUCUUUAGGUGAUACUAUGAACAUAUUUCCCUUCUCUUCUCUGCUUUGCAGAAGUGGGUGCUUCCUGCUCCCUAUGGAAAGGACAUCACAUUUUCUAUUAGAUUUCCCACCUACAACGAGCCUUUUCCCUCAGGAGUCCCCAGUGGUAUCUUGCAUUUUCUGGAUAUUCACUGUCCUCCCCAUUGCUCUAGCACCACCACUGGGACAGCAGUGUCAGCAUUCCAGUCCUGUACUGUAGCCCUUUAAAAUUCCUGUAUUUAUUUUUGAGAUGUUUUGUGUUAAUACUGCUGUUUCCUUAAGCACCUAAAGGCUGAAAGGUCUGGGGCUCUGAAAUCAGAUUAAGGAACAACAUUCAAAGAUACCUGAACAUCUUUUCUUGCAUUUGUAUAGCAACUUUAUCAACUCAAAAAGAGUAAAGCAAGCACAGACACAUGCCCUGUACAAGCUGCA